UAGAGUUUGAUCCUGGCUCAGGUUGAACGCUGGCGGCAGGCCUAACACAUGCAAGUCGAGCGGUAGCACAGAGAGCUUGCUCUCGGGUGACGAGAGGCGGACGGGUGAGUAAUGUCUGGGAAACUGCCUGAUGGAGGGGGAUAACUACUGGAAACGGUAGCUAAUACCGCAUAACGUCUACGGACCAAAGUGGGGGACCUUCGGGCCUCAUGCCAUCAGAUGUGCCCAGAUGGGAUUAGCUAGUAGGUGGGGUAACGGCUCACCUAGGCGACGAUCCCUAGCUGGUCUGAGAGGAUGACCAGCCACACUGGAACUGAGACACGGUCCAGACUCCUACGGGAGGCAGCAGUGGGGAAUAUUGCACAAUGGGCGCAAGCCUGAUGCAGCCAUGCCGCGUGUAUGAAGAAGGCCUUCGGGUUGUAAAGUACUUUCAGCGGGGAGGAAGGUGUUGUGGUUAAUAACCACAGCAAUUGACGUUACCCGCAGAAGAAGCACCGGCUAACUCCGUGCCAGCAGCCGCGGUAAUACGGAGGGUGCAAGCGUUAAUCGGAAUUACUGGGCGUAAAGCGCACGCAGGCGGUCUGUUAAGUCAGAUGUGAAAUCCCCGGGCUCAACCUGGGAACUGCAUUUGAAACUGGCAGGCUUGAGUCUCGUAGAGGGGGGUAGAAUUCCAGGUGUAGCGGUGAAAUGCGUAGAGAUCUGGAGGAAUACCGGUGGCGAAGGCGGCCCCCUGGACGAAGACUGACGCUCAGGUGCGAAAGCGUGGGGAGCAAACAGAAAGAGAUACCCUGGUAGUCCACGCCGUAAACGAUGUCGACUUGGAAGGUUGUGCCCUUGAGGCGUGGCUUCCGGAGCUAACGCGUUAAGUCGACCGCCUGGGGAGUACGGCCGCAAGGUUAAAACUCAAAUGAAUUGACGGGGGCCCGCACAAGCGGUGGAGCAUGUGGUUUAAUUCGAUGCAACGCGAAGAACCUUACCUGGUCUUGACAUCCAGAGAAUCCUGCAGAGAUGCGGGAGUGCCUUCGGGAACUCUGAGACAGGUGCUGCAUGGCUGUCGCCAGCUCGUGUUGUGAAAUGUUGGGUUAAGUCCCGCAACGAGCGCAACCCUUAUCCUUUGUUGCCAGCGGUUAGGCCGGGAACUCAAAGGAGACUGCCGGUGAUAAACCGGAGGAAGGUGGGGAUGACGUCAAGUCAUCAUGGCCCUUACGACCAGGGCUACACACGUGCUACAAUGGCGCAUACAAAGAGAAACGACCUCGCGAGAGCAAGCGGACCUCAUAAAGUGCGUCGUAGUCCGGAUUGGAGUCUGCAACUCGACUCCAUGAAGUCGGAAUCGCUAGUAAUCGUGGAUCAGAAUGCCACGGUGAAUACGUUCCCGGGCCUUGUACACACCGCCCGUCA
rnacentral:rRNA from 1 species